rnacentral:ncRNA from 2 species
GGUAAGACGCGCGGGAGUCCGGCCGUUCACCGGGCUGAGAGGAAGGCUUUCACGGGCCUUCGACCGCAAGACACCUGAUCCGGAUCAUGCCGGCGAAGGGAGCGCAGGUGGAUGUGAU